GUGAACAAAUAAGACAUGUUAUCGUAACACGAAAACAUGUUUUAUACAUAAUAGAAGUAAAGUGUAUUAUAUAAGAUGGAAAUGUAGUGGAAGAAUGUUUUGUUCGUGUAUUUUUUUCGUUUGGUUUACUUCUCUGUGUUCACAGCUCGAAUAUAUACGAAGCCAGCGAUGCAUGUUUGACCUUUUCAUAGAAGGACUAAUGUUGGGAUUCCAAUACUAAUAUCACAUUUGGAGAUGGACUUGUAAUAAUAACACGAAUUGUUUUUGGAAAAACAAACACUAACACACGUAAACAAUGCGACAAUUGCUUGGACACGCGGGAAGAUGCCAUAAUGGAUGUAUCUGGUGAACAAUUCGAUAGUGUCAUCAACUACAUACUUCAGACUUGUUUAUUUCGACAUUCAUGUUCAUUACCACUGUUUAAAGGACCUGACAAUGAAAUAAGCAUUAGCUACAGAUGUAUCCCAGAGGACCGUAGAUAAGACCCAUGUGAAACCAAUUCAUCUUUCCUGAGCAUCAGCGAUACACAUACUUUCUUUAUGCUGCGAUCUAAUUAAUCCGGAACAUGCAGCUGUGUGAUAAACGGGUCGACCAAAAUGACAAUUCAAGACUUCUUCACAUUGUUUGACAAAAUUAGUAUACAUAAAUCCAAGCGUGUAUCGAGUUUGGAUGGCAAUGUCAUUUAUAUUGUUCAUACGAACGUCUCCAUUGUCAGCAUCAUCUUCGACGGGAUAUUCCGGCGUCUGUGGUUAAGUGUAAACAUAAAAGGUAACAUUUUGUUUUCAACGUAUCAACUUAGUUAAUAAACAUGUGCAUCUAACAAAUGUACGAUCAACAUUA